GGGAUACGAGAGGGAGGAUAUGAAGGAGGCUUUGAACUGGGGGAAAUGGUGGCAAUGAGGUGUGGUUGUAGCCCAGGAAUAGUCAGGGAAGCAGAUAAUUUAGUUAAAGUGUCUCAGCCUAAUAAGGGAACUGGGCAGGUGGGGAUAACUAAAAAGGAGUGCUUAAAAGAGUAUUGUCUAAGUUGGCACCAGAGUUGGGGAGUUUUAAGAGGUUUAGAAGCCUGGCCAUCAAUACCCACAACAGUUACGGAGGCAAGGGAAACAGGCCCUUGAAAAGAAGGUAAUGUGGAGUCGGUAGCCUCCGUAUUGAUUAAGAAGGGGACGGACUUACCCUCCACUGUGAGAAUUACCCAGACCUUCUGUGAUGGUCCUGUAGGCUUCCGAGGCAAUUGGGCGGUGUCAGUCUUCAGCUGCUAAGCCCAGAAGAUCUGGGAAGGAGUCAGUCAGAGAGCCUUGGGCCAGAGUCCCAGGGGCUCUGGGAGUGGCUGCCAGAACUUCUCCUUACUGAGCCUUCAUUUCUACUCCCAGAGAAGUCCAACAGCUCAUCCUUGACCCAGAAGAAGACCAGUCAUAGCUGAUCCUUCAAGAAGCAAGAAAGAAGACAAACAGGUGAACGAUAAAGACA